rnacentral:tRNA from 1 species
CCGAUAUAGCUCAGCUGGUAGAGCAUUCGAUUCGUAAUCGAAAGGUCGUGGGUUCGAACCCCAUUAUCGG